rnacentral:sRNA from 1 species
CGACAGCGCAGCUCGCGUCGACCCUGGCUCAUCUACCUGCCCCCGCGGGCCCCCGCCUCCUUCAGGAUGACGCUGGACGUGGGGCCGGAGGAUGAGCUGCCCGACUGGGCUGCCGCCAAGGAGUUUUACCAGAAGUACGAUCCUAAGGACGUCAUCGGCAGAGGAGUGAGCUCUGUGGUCCGCCGUUGUGUUCAUCGAGCUACUGGCCAUGAGUUUGCGGUGAAGAUUAUGGAAGUGACAGCUGAGCGGCUGAGUCCUGAGCAGCUGGAGGAGGUGCGGGAAGCCACACGGCGAGAGACACACAUCCUUCGCCAGGUCGCCGGCCACCCCCACAUCAGUGAGGCUGUCUUCCUUGCUCCUGUUAGCAGAUGACCCCCCACCUCCUGCUGGCCCUGCCCAUAGCCCACUUCCGCCAACAUUGCCUCCACACCUCUCCUCCCUUCAUUCCACUAAAGAGUGGCCAUCCUUUGGGCCCCCACUGCCUCCUCUGGUUCUCCUUUCUUCCCAGUAACAGCCCGCUGCUGUCCCAGGGUGGCCAAGCCCUGUUAAUGUGCAUCCACUCCUUUCCAUCUCUGUCUCUCUGCCUCUCUUCCUCUCUCCCUAGUCACCCUCAUCGAUUCCUACGAGUCUUCUAGCUUCAUGUUCCUGGUGUUUGACCUGAUGCGGAAGGGAGAGCUGUUUGACUACCUCACAGAGAAGGUGGCCCUCUCUGAAAAGGAAACCAGGUCCAUCAUGCGGUCUCUGCUGGAAGCAGUGAGCUUUCUCCAUGCCAACAACAUUGUGCAUCGAGAUCUGAAGCCCGAGAAUAUUCUCCUAGAUGACAAUAUGCAGAUCCGACUUUCAGAUUUCGGGUUCUCCUGCCACUUGGAACCUAGCGAGAAGCUUCGAGAGUUGUGUGGGACCCCAGGGUAUCUAGCGCCAGAGAUCCUUAAAUGCUCCAUGGAUGAAACACACCCAGGCUAUGGCAAGGAGGUCGACCUCUGGGCCUGUGGGGUGAUCUUGUUCACACUCCUGGCUGGCUCGCCACCCUUCUGGCACCGGCGGCAGAUCCUGAUGUUACGCAUGAUCAUGGAGGGCCAGUACCAGUUCAGUUCCCCUGAGUGGGACGACCGUUCCAGCACUGUCAAAGACCUGGUGAGCUGGGGCUGAGAGGACAGUAGGGGAGGCCCAAGAGCUGUCCCUCAUGCUCUGGGUCUCUCCUAGAUCUCCAGGCUGCUGCAGGUGGAUCCUGAGGCACGCCUGACAGCUGAGCAGGCCCUACAGCACCCUUUCUUUGAGCGUUGUGAAGGCAGCCAACCCUGGAACCUCACCCCCCGCCAGCGGUUCCGGGUGGCAGUGUGGACAGUGCUGGCUGCUGGACGAGUGGCCCUAAGCACCCAUCGUGUACGGCCACUGACCAAGAAUGCACUGUUGAGGGACCCUUAUGCGCUGCGGUCAGUGCGGCGCCUCAUCGACAACUGUGCCUUCCGGCUCUACGGGCACUGGGUAAAGAAAGGGGAGCAGCAGAACCGGGCGGCUCUCUUUCAGCACCGGCCCCCUGGGCCUUUUCCCAUCAUGGGCCCUGAAGAGGAGGGAGACUCCGCUGCUAUAACUGAGGAUGAGGCCGUGCUUGUACUGGGCUAGGACCUCAACCCCAGGGAUUCCCAGGAAGCAGAACUCUCCAGAAGGGUUUUGAUCAUUCCAGCUCCUCUGGGCUGUGACCUCAGGCCCACCACUGAUCCUGCUACCCUCUUGAAGACCAGCCCGGUACCUCUCUCCUCACUGGCCAGGGCUCUGAGAUCAGAGCUGGGGUGGAAGGGAGCCACUCUGAACGCCACGCCUGGCCCGGUCAGUGCUGCCUGCGCUGCAUA